rnacentral:lncRNA from 1 species
UUUUCCGUGAGAGACGUAGAGCUGAGCGACCCAGCCCGCGAGCGAGGAUCGGAAUGCGGGGUCGAGAGCUGAUGGGCGGCAUUGGGAAAACCAUGAUGCAGAGUGGCGGCACCUUUGGCACAUUCAUGGCCAUUGGGAUGGGCAUCCGAUGCUAACCAUGGUUGCCAACUACAUCUGUCCCUUCCCAUCAAUCCCAGCCCAUGUACUAAUAAAAGAAAGUCUUUGAGU